rnacentral:tRNA from 1 species
CUGGUAAUCUUGUAAGAGGGUUGUGUUUCGGCCACAAUUAUGUAGAAUUUAUUGUUUCUACUACCAGU